GUUUACCAGGAAGUACUAAAGAGCGUUCAAUAUGUCAACAAUGUUGGUGAGCGACGAGCAAGGCUAUUUUGGCCUCGGAAUCUCAAUUAACUCUGGAGAGAUUCAAAAGAAUUGCCCAAGCAGCCAGUAAGAGUAGAUCAUAAAUACAUUUUUUCCCGCUUCGGUAAGGCGAGGAGUACCGUAGCAUUGAUGAUGGUCAGCAUAUUUUUCGGCGCUGCAAGAUUUAGGCGGACAGAAUUCACCAUCAUAGCACAGGAAUAAAUUAGCCCGCAAGGACAAGUCUGACGAUAAUAGGACGCACUGGCAUUCACCGAUCGAGAGAUUCAAAGCUGAUUUUAGCAUUUUUGCACUGCUGGAAAUAAGAAAAAAUUUGAACGGGUCAAAUGGUCCAAAACGUCGAUUCAGAUAGAACUGUAUACGAUAAAUUGCAAUUGGAUCGUCCGAGAUGGGAUAUGAGAAAUCACUUUUCGUUGAUAUCGCCCACGCAAAGCGUAAUGAGUGUGGAACGUUAAAGUAGCUUACACAAAUUUGGCAUACAAACCUACUAAAUGAAGAAGCACGGGAACACGUACAGUUACAGGACUGAGUGGUAAGCAAACUAUGCGGAAAUCUGAGAGAAAUCGUUUGCUUUUUUAAGCAGUAGACGUAAGGGAAUGUCCAUAAUUACGUCACGCAAAAAUUGGACAUUUUCAACCCCCCCCCCCCCCUAUUCCUCUA